CAAAUUGUCAUCGUUUAAAUUGUUCUUCUGAUUAUUUUUCGCUGGGUGAUGACCAUUUCCAAUUAGCUUAAUUGUAAUCAAACUUUUCCUUCUUCAUCAGGUGGUGGUAAGGUAACAGUCGAAAUUAUAAUAAUAAACAGUUAACCAGGUAAAUGAUGGAAAAAUUUGCUGAUCACUGUAGUAAGAAUUAGUUGAUUAAAUAGAGAACAAGAUGAAAUCAAAAUGGCGAAAGCGUGGGUUCAAUUAUUGGUAAAGAAGAAAAAAAAACAAUCCAAUCAUUGGAUCUAAACUCUAUCAAUAGAUUUUCAUGGUUGGUGUUUAUUGUAUUUAACUGAUUAGUUUUAAUUUCAUUUCGCUGACAAGAUCAAGUGGAAAAGGAAGAGAUUAUCAAAUUUAACCUUUGAUGGAUUAACAAGUGAACAUAUCUAAUCGUAUAAAGAUUGAUUCUUUUUUAAUGUAAUUAUGAUGGUGCUGAUUAUCGUAUGGAUUAUGUAUCUCUCUCUCUCUCUCUCAGAUUUAAAUGGAUAUUAUGCCAAAAGGAAGAUUAUCUUAACCACCCAUUAACUGUCAAGUAGCCAAUUGAUCUCAUUAUUGAAUAGCAGGUAAUAAGGCAAAUCUUUAAAUUGGGCGGAGAUGAUGAACGUCCUUGAACUGGAACCAUGAACUUGGAAGAAAUUUGAAUUUUUGUUUACUUGUUAUUCUUAAUGAUCAACAAAAGAGAAACAACAUAAACAAUGACGUUUGAGAGAGGAAGAGGAAUACAAUUAAUUAAUUAGUUGCAUCACAAUCUCUUAAUCGAGUCUUGGAAAAGUUUAAUAUUAGUAUUAUUAGCUACGUUGGAUAUAAUAAUAAUCAGUGAUAACGAUGAUGAUGACGCUGGUGAUUAUUGAAAAUGUUGCAUUAUUAUUAAUACCAUUUUACCCUUAAGGUAUUAAAAUGAAGGGUUCAAUCAAAAUGUCACAUUUAAAGGAUUCAUUAGAAACACAACCAUGUUAAUUGUUUACCUAGAAUUUGCCCUAAUUAUGUUGAUCGAAGAAGGAAAAAGUUUUAAUUUUCCAAUUUAUCAUGGAAACUUGUUCCUUCAAAAUUUUGGCUCAUACCUUUUAUAUUCAAGUUAAACCUGUCUUGUUGAUUAACAUUGGUAAUUCCAAUUGCUCUUUCACUGAAUCCAUCAUUUAACACCAUAAGAAUCAAUUGAGAUGAAAUUAUGAUAAACUGAUGGCGAUGCUGUUGAUGAUUACAUUUCAAUUUUGUAACAUUCUGGAAACCAGAUUCAGUUAUUUCCUCGAUUUUGAUUACAAAGAUUUUAAAGGUUGAUCUUUUUCUUCUUCUUCUUCUCUCAACAAUUUAAACUGAAUCAAGAAAAAAAUUCUUUUAAUUAUAAGAGAAAAACACACUCUAAAUCAAGGUUAGUCUUAAAUAAUUAUUCGUUAAUUAAUUAUAUAUACCAAUGACAAUUGUAUAUUUAUAUUGACUUUCUCUCUGUACCUCUGGAUUUUAUUAAUACCUGUUUAUCAAUCAUGAUGUCCACCAGCAAGAAUUAACUAAUCAUAUUAAUUUCGGAGUAAAUUGAUUGAGCAUUAAUUUUAAAUCUUUUCAGUCGUUAUAUCAUUAAUUUAUCAAGAUAUUUGAUUUAACACUUGAUUAGAUUGCGAAAAUAAUUUGGAUUCACUUUUUUCUUAAUUACGAUAAACAAUUAAUCGUGUUUGAAUCAAUUCUAAUCCAUGGACAAUUGAUUAACAUUCAUCGUUACAUCACCUUUAAUUAUGGUAAUCAUUUUCUGCUGAUAGAUUGGUGAAAAUUGCAACAAUCAACAGAUCUGGAAAAGUUAAUUGUAAUUUAAAUCUAAAUUGAAUGAUGUUAUUUUAUUGUUAUUCAUUUCUUAAUCAUUCAAGGAUUAGUGAAUAUUACCUUUGGUUUUAACCGUUGAAUUAACAACAACAAUCAACACAAUUAAUUGUAAAUCUAUUUGUUGAUUAAGUUUAGACCAAAGAUAAUCAGCAAUUGAUCAUCAUCAUCAUUAAUAAUUAACAGAACAAUUAACUUUUUUAUUGUUAAAAAAAGCACAUUUCUGAUAAUAUUAUUUGAUGGAAUCGUCUUCAGUCUGAUUGAGAGUUAAUUAGUGAUUAAAACAUUUACCACAAUUAAGAUAAUUGUUGAUAGCAGUUUCUUGUUUUCACUUUGUUAAUCUUAAUACUUUGAUUGAUUUUGAUUGGAAAGAAGAUGAUUUUAACUAACUGACCAUGACACUAAUUGAUAAAAUCUAUUGUGAUAAUCAGUCAAUCUACAAGUUACAGAAAUUGAUAAAUCAAUAAUGAUUAAGUUUCAAUGUCUUAAUUAACUUGAAUACAAUUGGAAAAUUUAAUUAUCAAUUAAAAGUUACAAUCAUCAUUCAAGGUUAAUUGUAAAGUGUCUGGGCAAGAAAAUGUAUCAACAUUAAUUAAUUACGAUGACCAUUGGUUGGGAAGGGAAAUUGAAAACAGGAAUUGUCACUCAAUUGACAGCAAUCAAUUUCUAAGGUAACAAUUAAUUGUUAAUUGAAUUCAUUGAAUCGAUGAUGGAAAUUAACAUUUUCCAAAUCAAUUAAUGUUCUCAUCAUUGGUUCUCUCGAAUUUCUUUUUCCCCGUAGACCAAAAUUUCUUGUCCGAAUUUGUCCUUAAACAAAAUAUUCUUAUGAUUGAUUAUCCAUGUUAUCGUUAUAUUAUUAUCUACGAAAUUCGAUAAAAGUUCAUAUUCGAUGUUCUUUUCUUCAGGGCAUCGUGAGUUCUUAUCGAGAUCUCUUGUUCUUGAAUUUCUUUUUCUCUCUCUCUCUUCUAAUUUGAAUACAUGAUGAACAUGAUAAUAAAUAGAAAAAGUCACCAAGAAGAUGAUAAACUUUUCCAUUUCAGUUUCGUAACGAUUUUCAUGACGAUUUUCUUGUUCUCAUAUCCAAUGAACUUUCAUAAUUUAUGAAUUCUCAUAAACUUCAAUCACGCAAUCACAGUUAAUUGUGUAGAUGUUUCUCUUAAUUAACAUGUUACACUUGCCAUUUAAUUGUUCCAAUAAUUGUAGUAGUUAUUGUUUCUUAUGAUUAAGGGGAAAUUUUCACUGAUAAUCAUAAUUAACUAACCACGAAAUCUUUACCUUUUUUUAAUUUUCUAGUAAAAUCCACAAAUAAAAGUCAAUUAACUUGAUAACUAAAUAACAACAACAACAACAACAAUUCACAAUUAAUUGUUCACUAAUUAACCUCAUGCAAAUGUAAACAAUAA